rnacentral:pre_miRNA from 1 species
UUUCUACUCCCUCCGUCUGAAAAUACUUGUCAUCAAAAUGGAUAAAAAGAGAUGUAUCUAAAACUAAAAUACGUCUAGAUACAUUUCCUUUUAUCCAUUUUGCUGACAAGUAUUUCCGGACGGAGGGAGUAUUUG